UACGUAGGCAGCAAGCGUUGCUCGGAAUCACUGGGCGUAAAGGGUGCGUAGGCGGGUCUUUUAAGUCAGGGGUGAAAUCCUGGAGCUCAACUCCAGAACUGCCUUUGAUACUGAGGAUCUUGAGUUCGGGAGAGGUGAGUGGAACUGCGAGUGUAGAGGUGAAAUUCGUAGAUAUUCGCAAGAACACCAGUGGCGAAGGCGGCUCACUGGCCCGAUACCGACGCUGAGGCACGAAAGCGUGGGGAGCAAACAGG
rnacentral:rRNA from 1 species